rnacentral:rRNA from 1 species
UCGCACGAGAAGCUGAGUAGCUUGCUACGAGGCGGACAGUGGCGAAAGGGAGAGUAACGUGUGGUUACGUGCCCUCGAGACCGGGAUAGCGUCGGGAAACUGGCGGUAAUACCGGAUAAUAUCUACGGAUCAAAUGGUGUGAUUCCGCUCGAGGAUUGGACCGCAUACUAUUAGCUUGUUGGUGGGGUAAUGGCCUACCAAGGCUGCGAUGGUUACCGGGUGUGAGAGCAUGGCCCGGCUCACUGGGACUGAGACACUGCCCAGACACCUACGGGUGGCUGCAGUCGAGAAUCUUCGGCAAUGGACGAAAGUCUGACCGAGCGAUGCCGCGUGCGGGAUGAAGGCCCUCGGGUUGUAAACCGCUGUCAGUUGUUAGGAAAUGCAUGGUGGCAAUCCAUCAUGUUUGACCGAUCUUCAGAGGAAGGACGGGCUAAGUACGUGCCAGCAGCCGCGGUAACACGUACCGUCCAAACGUUAUUCGGUAUCACUGGGCUUAAAGCGUUCGUAGGCGGCCUAGAAGGUGAGAUGUGAAAGCCCACGGCUCAACCGUGGAACUGCGUUUCAAACCACUAGGCUUGAGGAAGACAGGGGUGAUGGGAACUUAUGGUGGAGCGGUGAAAUGCGUUGAUAUCAUAGGGAACACCGGUGGCGAAAGCGCAUCACUGGGUCUUUUCUGACGCUGAGGAACGAAAGCUAGGGUA